rnacentral:rRNA from 1 species
UGGUGGAGUGAUUUGUCUGGUUGAUUCCGUUAACGAACGAGAUCUCGACCCUUAAAUAGGUGAGCCCGUUGUCCUUUUAGGCAAUGCGGUCUUCGGACCAAAUUGAAACAGGGAAUCCACUUCUUAAGGGGACUGCGUGCGUUUUUUAGCACGCGGAAGAGCGAGCCAAUAGCA